AUCAUACUCCUUCCGUUCGGAAUUACUUGUCGCGAAAAUGGAUGUAUUUAGAACUAAAAUACGUUUAGAUAUAUUCAUUUUCUCGACAAGUAUUUUCGGACGGAGGAAGUAUUAA
rnacentral:pre_miRNA from 1 species